GAUGAACGCUGGCGGCGUGCUUAACACAUGCAAGUCGAACGGUGAACACGGAGCUUGCUCUGUGGGAUCAGUGGCGAACGGGUGAGUAACACGUGAGCAACCUGCCCCUGACUCUGGGAUAAGCGCUGGAAACGGCGUCUAAUACUGGAUAUGUGACGUGACCGCAUGGUCUGCGUUUGGAAAGAUUUUUCGGUUGGGGAUGGGCUCGCGGCCUAUCAGCUUGUUGGUGAGGUAAUGGCUCACCAAGGCGUCGACGGGUAGCCGGCCUGAGAGGGUGACCGGCCACACUGGGACUGAGACACGGCCCAGACUCAUACGGGAGGCAGCAGUGGGGAAUAUUGCACAAUGGGCGCAAGCCUGAUGCAGCAACGCCGCGUGAGGGAUGACGGCCUUCGGGUUGUAAACCUCUUUUAGCAGGGAAGAAGCGAAAGUGACGGUACCUGAAGAAAAAGCGCCGGCUAACUACGUG
rnacentral:rRNA from 1 species